rnacentral:rRNA from 1 species
GAAGAUGAGAGAGAGGGAGAAAGAUAUGACAUGCGAAUAAGCAGAGAAGAAGAAGAAGAAGAAGCAGAAGUAGAAGAGGCAGCAGGAGGGAAAGAUAAGGAAGGGAGGAGAAACUGUUCCACAGAAAUGCACCCAAACAACGUGUCAGCGGAGAGAGAAGAUGGAG